ensembl:snRNA U6 U6 spliceosomal RNA
GUGUUUCCUUCAGCAGCACAUACACUAAAAUUGGAACAAUACAGAGAUUAGUGUGGCCCCUAUGCAAGGAUGACAUGCAAAUUUGUGAAGCAUUUCAUAUAUAA